rnacentral:lncRNA from 1 species
UGAGUGGGCAGCACAUCCAGAAGCAGGACCCAACAGGAGGAGCACGUGGUUGAGCCUUCAGCCAUGAGAGCAGCUACGGCUCAUUGGCUAUAUUUAGAAGCUUAACUGGAGCACAAAAGGAGGAAAUGGACAUUCUUAAUAGUCAGAGAGAGAACACACGGUGUCCCUACACCAAGAGCCUGCUUUCUUCACCAAGUGCUAGCAGUAUCCAUGAAGUGUCUGGGUCACAGGGAGUGAGCAGGAGCCUUCUAUACUGCCACGAUACAUUGCUCACAUGAAAGCUGAAAUUUGUGAGUGCUUUGUCCGAUCACUACAAGCAAUGAAAGAAGUAAUGGAGAAACGUACAGAAGCUCACAGAGGACAGAUGUUACAUCAGAUUAGUACUCCAGAUCCUGCUGAAGAGACCUACUCAAC